rnacentral:tRNA from 1 species
AAAGAAUUAGUUAAACACAUAACAUUAGAAUGUCAAACUGAAAUCAUUAAUUAAUUAAUAUUCUUUA